AAAAAAAAAAAACCCAUCUAAGAACGAGAAGAUCACCAUGGAUGAUGAUGAAAGAGGACCAAGGUUAAGCAAGCGAUUCUCUGACAAAAAUGCCGAUGGAGAAGUUGAUUACAAAACCAAGGCUGGAACUGCUUGGUCUCACUCUUACCUUAAUCAAAAACCAUGGCAUCCGCUCUCCUACCCUAACCAACGCCGCAAGUGGAUUGCCGAACAGACUCACGCCCAACAAGAACGUCGUGCCGAAGAAGUUUCACGUGAGUAUGCUCAGGAACAGGAGUUUUUUCGCCAAGCUGCGCUUGUUUCUAAGAAAGAGAAGGAAAAAAUGGAGAUGAUGAAAGCUGUUAGUUUCAUGUAUGUCCGACCCCCUGGUUAUAAUCCCGAAAGUGCCAAAGCUGCAGAGAUUGCUGAGGAGAAGAAAGCUCUGGAACCCUCAGAGGGUUCACACUCAGUGGAGGCAGGGGAAGCUCAUAUGUUGCAAAAUCCUAUGCCCCCCAAUGAGGAAAAGAGGAAGCCGAGGCCUAAAGAUGUUUUUGGCCGUGUGUUACCAACAGAAGAACAAUUUGAAGCCCUUAAAAAUGCCCCAAGGCUAGAGACUGGUGUUGCUGGAAGGGCAAAGCCAUUUGGCAUUGAAAUACGGAACGUAAAGUGUGUCAGAUGCGGGGCCUAUGGCCACCAAAGUGGUGAUCGUGAAUGUCCAUUGAAGGAUGCUAUAAUGCCUAAUGAAGAGAGUCGGUUGAAAAGAGACGAUCCCUUAACGGCUAUCAUAGCUCAAACUGAUUCAUCUGAGCCUCUUAAGUGGGAGUUGAAACAAAAGCCUGGGAUGAGUCCACCUCGUGGCGGGUUCAGACCAGAUGAUCCAAACCAGCAGAUUGUUGCAGAAGACAUAUUCGAUGAAUAUGGAGGGUUUCUUGGCGAGGAGGUUAUCCCUAAUCUGCUAGCCAACUUCUCUACAAGCAAGCAAAAGAAGUCCAGUAGUAAGAGAAAACACAAAGGACAAUCACCUCCAACCAUUAAAGACAAUUCCUGCUCUGAUGAUGCAGGAAGGAGGUCAAAGAAGAGUAAAAGUCAACAUAAAAAGAAAAAGAAACAAAUAAAGUCCGAUUCAAGUUCAUCGGAAGAUUCAGAGGUCGAUAGGCGUAAGAGGAGCAGAGGCGGCGGACAUAGGCGGCAUGAUGGAUCCGAGGGUUCAGACUCUGAUCGGCAACGAAGGCACGAACAUCAUCGCCACCGCCGGCAUCACCACCACCACCACCGUCACCGUAGACGUACGGAUUGAUACUGUCAUGCAGCAUUGAGACCUGUAGUAAACCACAUUGUAUACUGUUGUUUAGACAUUUUUGUGUUGAUUUAAGUUCCUUUGGGAGAUGGAAAGAAAGGGAAAGAGGGGCCAAGGUAAGGAGGUGGAAUCCGUGAGGUCUCAUGUUCAAAUCUGUACAUCACGCACCCGCUUUUGGGACAUUGGUUUUUUCUCCCUCAUUGAAUGUUCGUGGGAUUAAUACUGUUCGAAUCUGGACACCAUCUGCCUGUCUGUCUCUUGUCUUGGAUACCAUGGUUUUCCUUCCUUGUGAACGUUGGUGGGACUCGUGCAUUAGAAUUUGGGCAUCAUCAACCUGUCGAUUUUUCUUUCGUAUGAUUGGUUGUGGGGUCGUUACAGUUUGAAUUAGAACACCAUCCACCUGUCUCUAAGAUACUGCAAUUUUCCUUUUUAACAUAUGGUUGUGAGACGGUUACGUUAGAGGUGGUGUGGGAUUUAAUUAGGGCGUUUUGGUUGUCUUAAGCAAGUUGUGGCGAGCCAAAUUAUGCUACCUUUAAUAUUUGUUCUAAGAUGACACCAUUUCCUUUACAUA